CUUUCCCUCUGGCGGCAGGCCUAACACAUGCAAGUCGAGCGGAUGAAGGGAGCUUGCUCCUGGAUUCAGCGGCGGACGGGUGAGUAAUGCCUAGGAAUCUGCCUGGUAGUGGGGGAUAACGUCCGGAAACGGGCGCUAAUACCGCAUACGUCCUGAGUGAGAAAGUGGGGGAUCUUCGGACCUCACGCUAUCAGAUGAGCCUAGGUCGGAUUAGCUAGUUGGUUGGGUAAAGGCCUACCAAGGCGACGAUCCGUAACUGGUCUGAGAGGAUGAUCAGUCACACUGGAACUGAGACACGGUCCAGACUCCUACGGGAGGCAGCAGUGGGGAAUAUUGGACAAUGGGCGAAAGCCUGACCCAGCCAUGCCGCGUGUGUGAAGAAGGUCUUCGGAUUGUAAAGCACUUUAAGUUGGGAGGAAGGGCAGUAAGUUAAUACCUUGCUGUUUUGACGUUACCAACAGAAUAAGCACCGGCUAACUUCGUG
rnacentral:rRNA from 1 species